rnacentral:lncRNA from 1 species
UACUGACCCCACAGUUGCAGGAAGCAAUCAAUUAUUAAGGCUAUCUCCAUAACAUUUAUUGUAGAAGUCAAGAUGCUUUCAGUUAUAUUUUAUCAAAACCCAAUCCAAACUUAAAGUGAUAAGUAUGAUCUCAUGUAACAGGAGAACCAUGACAAAGUUAACUUCAAGCAUAGCUGUAUACAGGGACUAAGAUAUUUUUAUUUCUUCUCUCACCUCUCUAAGUUGUCUUAUUUUCAUUGAGAUCUACUCUACUAGGUAGGGAUCAUGUCUUGUCCCAAACAAGAAUCCCCACAGUUCACAAUGUAAAAAGAUGAAAAGUGCUGCUCCCCCUCACUGUCCAGAUGAAAUCUCAUGGAAGCAUUCUGAUUGGCCAUGCUUUAGUCAUGUACUCCCCCUUGAACCCAUCACAAAGUCCAGAUAUAUAAAGGAACUCUGAUUGCUUCAUUAUGAUCUCAUGUUCAGCCCUUGACCUGGAGUGCAACAGCAGAUUGACAGUACCUCCAGGCCCACAUGGAAGGGGGAAAGUGAGAUAGUUAUUAAAAUAAGGGAGGGGGCAUUUUGCUCAGACCAGUAGAAAAAUCAAGGAAGAUAGAUAGGUAGACAAAUUAACAGUGGUACUUAUAGAAAGAUAGGUCUUGUGUGGAAGUAUAAAUAACUCUCUUAUCAAUCAAGUCAAUUUAGUAGCAGACUUUGUGAUAUUCUGUGCCCUUUUAAGAAGACAAGGGGAGAAAAGUGGCAGAUAAACUAAAGAAAUAGUGAAUCCUGAUUUUUGAUAUGCUAAAUUGGAAUAACAUUGCAGGUAUCUUCAACAGUGCUUGCUCCUUCAAGGCAGAAUCAAGCAAAGAAGCUGAAAAAGAUGCUAAGGACAACUUUUCUUUUUGUCUUUGGUUACAAAAAGUAUGUUAAAGAAAUAUAACCCCCAACGCACAGCUCUGAUAGGAUGAAGGGCAUGUUUCCUGCCAUAAUUGAUAUGGAUUCACAUCAGCUGGUGGAGGGAUGAAGGUUAUGAAGCUCCCACUAUGUGCCAGACUUGCUGCGUGUUUGAUUUUGAAGCCUUAUGGCAAUCUGUCAAGGAGCCCCCACAGCCUGGGAAGAACUGUCCAGACUUCAUCUCCAGUUGACAGGUCAUGGCCAUGAAUCCAGCAUGUAGUAAAGUGGCAGACAGGUGGAGUGAUGCUUCCAAUGUCAAGUGCUUUGCUGAGGGAAUUUCUCAUGUAAUUGACCAACUUCUUGGCAAAAAGAGGUAAGAAAACACAGCACUUUCUAGUCUUGAGGUUCCUGACUACAAUCACAGAAUGUCUGGCUUAGCAGAUGUUAUGACUAUUGCAUUUCAGCCCAUGCUACUUCUAUUCAAAAUAUGCAACAGUUUGACUUUGAAGUCACAAAUUGACUGAAAAUGUUUUACUCGACAAUUUAGUUGCAUAGUGCUUAGAAAAGGGCGACAUGAUCCUUUUUCACAUCAGUUGUUUAUGGAGUUAUAAUACAAAUAUACAUAAAUGAGUAAAGAAAAAUACCUAAUUGUGAUUAUCAAAGGAUCAGUUAAAAAUUAACUAUGAAGUAAACUUGAGAAAUCAGUGAAUAACCUAUUUAUAUCUUUUGGAGUAACCUAAUAAUAUUAGCAUGUUGGGAAUAUUAACUUUUUAAAUUAAUAAGUAAAUUUUGUUUAAAAUAUUAUUUUCUUUCAAUAAUUCAAAGUUUCAAUAACCACAGGAGGAGUUUCAAGUUUUAUGUACUCAUAUAUUCGUUCAUUGCAACACAGUUUCUAUAUAGUCAUUUCGCCAACCCACCUGAGGGAAUAUUUAUUGCAGACUUUUUGGUCAGCAACAUUUAGUGUUUAAAUGAAAGUUGAACAGUUGGGUCUUAAAACAUUUAUUUAUAAAAUGAGUUAUGUAUAAAUGUAAAAGUUGAUAAUUUAAUGUAUUUACUACACUGACAGUGCUAAUUAUUUAGUACUCACACUGUAAUUUCUAUGUUAAUGAUAAUUGUGGAGUUCAAAGUCCAGCUAUUGGUGUAAUCAUCUAAUAUUACAUAUCUCAAGG